rnacentral:rRNA from 1 species
AGUGAACGCUGGCGGUAGGCCUAACACAUGCAAGUCGAACGGCAGCACAGUAAGAGCUUGCUCUUACGGGUGGCGAGUGGCGGACGGGUGAGGAAUACAUCGGAAUCUACUUUUUCGUGGGGGAUAACGUAGGGAAACUUACGCUAAUACCGCAUACGACCUACGGGUGAAAGCAGGGGAUCUUCGGACCUUGCGCGAUUGAAUGAGCCGAUGUCGGAUUAGCUAGUUGGCGGGGUAAAGGCCCACCAAGGCGACGAUCCGUAGCUGGUCUGAGAGGAUGAUCAGCCACAUUGGAACUGAGACACGGUCCAGACUCCUACGGGAGGCAGCAGUGGGGAAUAUUGGACAAUGGGCGCAAGCCUGAUCCAGCCAUACCGCGUGGGUGAAGAAGGCCUUCGGGUUGUAAAGCCCUUUUGUUGGGAAAGAAAGGCAGCAGGUUAAUACCCCGCUGUUCUGACGGUACCCAAAGAAUAAGCACCGGCUAACUUCGUG